UACAGAGGUCCUCAAGCGUUGUUCGGAUUCAUUGGGCGUAAAGGGUGCGUAGGUGGCGCUGUAAGUCGGGUGUGAAAUUUCGGAGCUUAACUCCGAAACUGCAUUCGAUACUGCGGUGCUUGAGGACUGGAGAGGAGACUGGAAUUCAUGGUGUAGCAGUGAAAUGCGUAGAGAUCAUGAGGAAGACCAGUGGCGAAGGCGGGUCUCUGGACAGUUCCUGACACUGAGGCACGAAGGCCAGGGGAGCAAACGGG
rnacentral:rRNA from 1 species